rnacentral:tRNA from 1 species
AAAAGGUUGGCAGAAUAGUGCAACCGAUUUAGGCUCGGAACAAAGGAUGUAAACUCCUACCUUUUA